GAGCCUGAGGAGGCCGUGUCCUGUGAGCGUCCCCACAAUGGCCUGGAAGGUGCUCCUGCUUGGGCUCCUUGCUUACAGCUCAGGUGUGGAUUCUCAGACUGUGGUCACCCAGGAGCCGUCACUGUCUGUGUCUCCAGGAGGGACAGUCACAUUCACCUGUGGCUUUAGCUCUGGCUCAGUCUCUACUAGUUACUACCCUGGCUGGUACCAGCAGACCUCAGGCAAGGCUCCCCAAACACUUAUCCAUGCGACAAGCUACCGGAUCUCUGGGGUCUCUGAGCGCUUCUCCGGAUCCAUCUCUGGGAACAAAGCCAUCCUCACCAUCAACGAGGCCCAGCCUGAGGACGAGGCCGACUAUCUCUGUAGUCUAUACAUGGGUGGUGGCAUCUACACAGUGAUGUGA